rnacentral:rRNA from 1 species
CAGCAGUGGGCAAUAUUGCACAAUGGGCGCAAGCCUGAUGCAGCCAUGCCGCGUGUAUGAAGAAGGCCUUAGGGUUGUAAAGUACUUUCAGCGGGGAGGAAGGUGAUAAAGUUAAUACCUUUGUCAAUUGACGUUACCCGCAGAAGAAGCACCGGCUAACUCCGUGCCAGCAGCCGCGCUAAUACGGAGGGUGCAAGCGUUAAUCGGAAUUACUGGGCGUAAAGCGCACGCAGGCGGCAAUUAAGUCAGAUGUGAAAGCCCCGAGCUCAACUUGGGAACUGCAUCUGAAACUGGCUGGCUAGAGUCUUGUAGAGGGGGGUAGAAUUCCACGUGUAGCGGUGAAAUGCGUAGAGAUGUGGAGGAAUACCGGUGGCGAAGGCGGCCCCCUGGACAAAGACUGACGCUCAGGUGCGAAAGCGUGGGGACCAAACAGGAUUAGAUACCCUGGUAGUCCACGCUGUAAACGAUGUCGAUUUAGAGGUUGUGGUCUUGAACUGUGGCUUCUGCAGCUAACGCGUUAAAUCGACCGCCUGGGGAGUACGGCCGCAAGGUUAAAACUCAAAUGAAUUGACGGGGGCCCGCACAAGCGGUGGAGCAUGUGGUUUAAUUCGAUGCAACGCGAAGAACCUUACCUACUCUUGACAUCCAGCGAAUCCUUUAGAGAUAGAGGAGUGCCUUCGGGAACGCUGAGACAGGUGCUGCAUGGCUGUCGUCAGCUCGUUGUUGUGAAAUGUUGGGUUAAGUCCCGCAACGAGCGCAACCCUUAUCCUUUGUUGCCAGCGCGUAAUGGCGGGAACUCAAAGGAGACUGCCGGUGAUAAACCGGAGGAAGGUGGGGAUGACGUUAAGUCGUAUCAUGGCCCUUACGAGUAGGGCUACACACGUGCUACAAUGGCAGAUACAAAGAGAAG